rnacentral:rRNA from 1 species
AGAGUUUGAUCAUGGCUCAGAGCGAACGCUGGCGGCAGGCCUAACACAUGCAAGUCGAGCGCCGUAGCAAUACGGAGCGGCAGACGGGAGAGUAACACGUGGGAACGUGCCCUUCAGUUCGGAACAACCCAGGGAAACUUGGGCUAAUACCGGAUACGUCCGUAAGGAGAAAGAUUUAUCGCUGAAGGAUCGGCCCGCGUCUGAUUAGCUAGUUGGUGGGGUAAUGGCCCACCAAGGCGACGAUCAGUAGCUGGUCUGAGAGGAUGAUCAGCCUCACUGGGACUGAGACACGGCCCAGACUCCUACGGGAGGCAGCAGUGGGGAAUAUUGGACAAUGGGCGCAAGCCUGAUCCAGCCAUGCCGCGUGGGUGAUGAAGGCCCUAGGGUUGUAAAGCCCUCUCGGCGGGGAAGAUAAUGACGGUACCCGCAGAAGAAGCCCCGGCUAACUUCGUGCCAGCAGCCGCGGUAAUACGAAGGGGGCUAGCGUUGCUCGGAAUCACUGGGCGUAAAGCGCACGUAGGCGGCUUUUUAAGUCAGGGGUGAAAUCCUGGAGCUCAACUCCAGAACUGCCUUUGAUACUGAGAAGCUUGAGUCCGGGAGAGGUGAGUGGAACUGCGAGUGUAGAGGUGAAAUUCGUAGAUAUUCGCAAGAACACCAGUGGCGAAAGCGGCUCACUGGCCCGGUACUGACGCUGAGUGCGAAAGCGUGGGAGCAAACAGGAUUAGAUACCCUGGUAGUCACGCCGUAACGAUGGAUGCUAGCCGUGUCGGGUUUACCCGUCAGUGGCGCAGCUACGCAUUAAGCAUCCGCCUGGGGAGUACGUCGCAGAUUAAACUCAAAGAAUUGACGGGGCCCGCACAAGCGUGGAGCAUUGUGUUCAUUUCGAGCAACGCGAAGAACCU